rnacentral:rRNA from 1 species
AGCCCCCUCUAGCCCGAUCACACCUCCAACUGCAAAACUUAACAAGCCCACUUCUUUCCUGAACCAAAACAUUUCACUAACUUAGUAUAGGCGAUAGAAAAGGCCCACAAUCCUCGGCGCGAUAGAAACUCGUACCGCAAGGGAACGAUGAAAUAACAAUGAAAAACCAAGCAACAAACAGCAAAGAUAAACCCUUGUACCUUUUGCAUCAUGAUUUAGCAAGAACAACCAAGCAAAAUGAACUUAAGCUUGCCAUCCCGAAACCCGAGCGAGCUACUCACAAGCAGCUAUCAAUGAGCGAACCCGUCUCUGUCGCAAAAGAGUGGGAUGACUUGUCAGUAGAGGUGAAAAGCCAACCGAGCCGGGUGAUAGCUGGUUGCCCGCUAAACGAAUCUAAGUUCCCCCUUGAUUCCUUCCCAACGGACACCCAACCCAACCGACAUGUAAUGAAUCAAGAGCUAUUUAAAGGAGGUACAGCUCCUUUAAAAAAGAACACAACCUCCCUCAGCGGAUAACUCCCCACUAUCCCCUUUAAUGUAGGCCUUCAAGCAGCCACCAACAAUGAAUGCGUCAAAGCUCAUCACCAAAAAAUUCCAAAACCUUUACAAUUCCUUCCCUCCCAGCAGGCUAACCUAUAACAAUAGGAGAAUUAAUGCUAAAAUGAGUAACUAGGGAUACCCUUUUAGGCGCAAGCUUACACCACCACGUUAUUAACAGACCAAUUAAUAUCCCAAACCACAACAAGACCUCAUAUUAAACUACCCUGUUAACCCAACCCAGGAGCGCCCACCAGAAAGAUUAAAAUCUGCAAAAGGAACUCGGCAACCUCAAGGCCCGACUGUUUACCAAAAACAUAGCCUUCAGCAACACAAGUAUUGAAGGUGAUGCCUGCCCAGUGACAUACGUUCAACGGCCGCGGUAUCCUAACCGUGCGAAGGUAGCGCAAUCAAUUGUCCCAUAAAUCGAGACUUGUAUGAAUGGCUAAACGAGGCCUUAACUGUCUCUUGCAGAUAAUCAGUGAAAUUGAUCUUCCCGUGCAAAAGCCGGAAUAAUAACAUAAGACGAGAAGACCCUGUGGAACUUAAAAAUCAGCGGCCACCCCACACUAAACCCAAACCUACAAGGCCUAUCCACCACAAGCACUGGCCCGCAUUUUUCGGUUGGGGCGACCUUGGAGAAAAACAAACCUUCCAAAGAUAAGACCACUCCUCUUAACCAGAAGCACCUACCCACCGUACUAUUAGUACCCGGACCCCAUUACAUUGGUUAAUGGACCAAGCUACCCCAGGGAUAACAGCGCAAUCCCGUACAAGAGCCCAUAUCGACGAGGGGGUUUACGACCUCGAUGUUGGAUCAGGACAUCCUAAUGGUGCAGCCGCUAUUAAGGGUUCGUUUGUUCAACGAUUAACAGUCCUACGUGAUCUGAGUUCAGACCGGAGCAAUCCAGGUCGGUUUCUAUCUAUGAUAAGCUCCCCCUAGUACGAAAGGACCGGGGAAGCAAGGCCAAUGCCACAAGCAUGCCUUCCCUCUAAGCAAUGAACUCAACUAAAUUGUCAAAAGGUAGCCCACUUACUCCCAUCCUAGAAAAGGACC